AGUGUAUUUAUUUAAUUUAAUAACAAGAAGAAAGAGUACAAAUAUGGAAUUUGAGUGAGGACGGACGGACACACACACACACAGUCCAUCAGCCAUCUCUCCAUCACCAUAAACCCUUUCUUCUUCUUCCCAAUCAACACACCCUACUGCCCAGAGCGCAGUUGGUACCCAAGUCCUUGCCCAUUUGAUGUGUGCUAAGAGUCAAGCAUGUCUGGCAAUCGGACUUUCGUAGAGGAGGAAGCUUCUUCUGGAUCAGGAGAUGAGGCAAACAUGUUAGAUGGGCAAAAUAAGAAUCAGUCUAUGAUCCCUCAUUCAGGUAGGCGUAAGAGAAGUCGCAAGGCAACAAGUGAUGCUAUUGUUGAUGCUAUGUUGGAAAUAGCUGCAGCUUCAAAAAUGAGGGCUGCUGCAAUCAUGAGGAAUGAGGAGCGUUUUACUAUAAGCAAAUGCAUAAGAGUAUUGGAUGAGAUGCAAGGUGUUGAUCAAACUCUCUAUUUUUACGCUUUGGAUUUAUUUGAAAAUCCCUCAGCGAGAGAAACUUUCAUUUCGCUUAAAGCUGAGAGACGGUUGGCAUGGUUGCAGGGAAAGUUUAGAGCCUCCUCAAGUGUGGUAGCUGGAGGAGUUUGAUGUGCUCUGUGCUCUUUCCUAAUGAGUCCUUCAUUUUUCUAAAAUCUGUAUUGCCUCUAGCGAGGUUUUUUGGAUCUUUGGCCCCUGUACUUAGUUUGACAUUGUGGUCAAAGAUUUUAUACCCAUGCUUUAUGAUUUAACUGUGUUUCUAGCUACUUCUUAUUUUUUUAUUGUUUUCGCUAUAUGAAAUUAUUUUUUGGAUUUAUGGUGUGAACUGUUGGUGCAAAAUCAACAUAAUCAUGUAGUCUUUUGUCGUGCAUGCCCAUUUUUCAGCGUCUAGUUGUACAGAUUACUGAUUGCCAUGGAUGACUGACAUAAGAUGGAGCUAGUUGCAGCUGCUGCUGGCUGCAAUAUUAAAAGGUAUUAGAAGGCACCCAGCUUCAUUACUGAAGUUCUCAAUGCUUAUGACAAGUUGUGCCUGGAAAAGUUAUAGACAAGCAUGUAGAGAGGCAUGCAGCAUGAUACGGCAGGAAAAGUUAUAGACAAACAUGUAUUCCAUAAGUGACACUCUUAAAGAGAGACAUGCAACGUGACGCAACAGGUCUCAUGAAGAGGGAUUGCUUGACUAGGUCUUGAAUAUUGCUGGCCGCAUGAACAUAAGCUAGCGAUACAAGAGUGAAUUCGGUGUUUUGCGGGAAAGCAGUAAGUAGGCAUUUUGAUAAUGUACAAGUUACUUUUUGCACAAGGUUUUGUCAGCUGCCGACUCUCAUGAUUCCAUAGAAGAUCCUCCAAAGCACUAGAUCCUACCCAUAUUUUGAGGACGGGUUUGCAGCAGUAGACGGGAUGAAUAUACCUGCCCAGGUUCCAGGAAAAGAUCAAUUCAUUUCAUGUAUCCUAGGUGGAAAUGCUCAGCUGCAGAUUCACACAUUUCAAGAGCUGUUCUUAGCGACCCCGACAAAACUUCCUUCAAGUUCCUGAAAGGUAGAGGUCAAAUGCAGAGUCAAUUGAACAUCGUGCAUGCAUGUAUAUUUCCUUCGUUUCUUCCCCCAAAUGUCAUGAUGAUCUAUAGUAUGAUGCAUGUAUACUAACAGUUGAUGGGGCAGGAAAUUAUAUCUUCCCUGAUCUGGGUAUGGUAAUAUGGUUGAAUUUAUUGCUCAAUGUGAAGUAGUUGGUUAUCACAUCCAUGACUGUAGAGGUGCUAAUCUUUUACCAAAGAAUGCAAAGGAACUAUUUGAUCA